UACGUAGGGUGCAAGCGUUGUCCGGAAUUAUUGGGCGUAAAGAGCUCGUAGGCGGUCUGUUGCGUCGGCUGUGAAAACCCGGGGCUCAACUCCGGGCCUGCAGCCGAUACGGGCAGACUAGAGUUCGGCAGGGGAGACUGGAAUUCCUGGUGUAGCGGUGAAAUGCGCAGAUAUCAGGAGGAACACCGGUGGCGAAGGCGGGGUCUCUGGGGCCGAUACUGACGCUGAGGAGCGAAAGCGUGGGGAGCGAACAGG
rnacentral:rRNA from 1 species